UCCUACGGGAGGCAGCAGUGGGGAAUAUUGCACAAUGGGCGAAAGCCUGAUGCAGCAACGCCGCGUGCGGGAUGAAGGCCCUAGGGUUGUAAACCGCUUUCAGCAGGGAAGAAAAUGACGGUACCUGUAGAAGAAGGUGCGGCCAACUACGUACCAGCAGCCGCGGUGACACGUAGGCACCAAGCGUUGUCCGGAUUUAUUGGGCGUAAAGAGCUCGUAGGCGGUUCAGUAAGUCGGGUGUGAAAACUCUGGGCUCAACCCAGAGACGCCACCCGAUACUGCUGUGACUAGAGUGCGGUAGGGGAGCGGGGAAUUCCUAGUGUAGCGGUGAAAUGCGCAGAUAUUAGGAGGAACACCAGUGGCGAAGGCGCCGCUCUGGGCCGUAACUGACGCUGAGGAGCGAAAGCGUGGGUAGCAAACAGGAUUAGAUACCCUGGUAGUCCACGCCGUAAACGUUGGGCACUAGGUGUGGGUCUCAACCAACGAGAUCCGCGCCGUCGCUAACGCAUUAAGUGCCCCGCCUGGGGAGUACGGUCGCAAGGCUAAAACUCA
rnacentral:rRNA from 1 species